UAAACAUUUACAAUAUACAUCUACGUAUUAUUAUUUGUUAUACGUAUGCAGAUAAAUGAUGUUCCGACUGAAUGUGUUUGUAGGAAUUUUUCUUUUAACCUUCUAUGUGUGUAUUGCUAUUCCAACCACGGAUGAAGGUUGUGCUGCUAUAAAGGGGAGAUGUCAAAAUGUACGGACCGUACCUUGCACUGGUGGUGAUAAAUUCUAUGAGCUGUUAUGUGCAGGAACUGAUCAACUUUGCUGUGCCAGGAAAACUGAUAAAGAGAAAGACUGCCGGGCCAAAGGAGGAUCUUGUGAUUACCACUGCGUAGGAUCUAAACCAUUCGCAAAUAUUUGUGAAGGUCACAUGUCUUGCUGCAUAGCAUUCAAUUAGCAGCAGUUAUUACAAAUUGAUAAAACGAAAUAAACUAUCAUUCAUAUGAAGAAUAUAAAUAUGACUUAAAAUAAAAUAAUGCAACAAAAGUAACAACUGUUACAAAUUACUUGA